GGGGCUUCCGCGCGGGCGACGCAACGGGCGGCGGGAUGGCGGCCGAGGAGCUGCGGGCGCUGCUCGGCGGGAAAGGCUGGCCGGUGCCGGAGGCGGAAGCCUGCGGCCCCGGCGCCCCCGAGCCGGCGCGCCUGCGGGGCAACGUCUGCUACGUGGUGCUGGCGGUGCUGCUCAACGAGAAGAACGAGGUGCUGGUGAUGCAGGAGGCCAAGCGCGAGUGCUACGGGAGCUGGUACCUGCCGGCCGGCCGGAUGGAGCCCCGCGAGACCGUGGUGGAGGCCGUGCGGCGGGAGGUGCAGGAGGAGACGGGGCUGCAGUGCCGGCCGCUCACGCUGCUGGCGGUGGAGGAGCGCGGCCCCGCCUGGAUCCGCUUCGUCUUCCUCGCCCGGCCCACCGGCGGGACGCUGAAGAGCCUGCAGCAGGCGGACGCGGAGUCCCUGCAGGCGCUGUGGUGGGACCGGGAGAGCCCCGCCCUGCCGCUCCGUUCGCGGGACAUCCUGCCCUUAAUGGACCUGGCAUUGCAGUACCGCGCCAGCCCCCGCCACCCCCCCGUCCUGCCGCUGGAGCUGCCCUGCGCCUCGGUUUGCCAGAGGCUCCUGCUCGUCUUCACCGGCAGCGACGACUCCUUGUGGGUGCUGCUGGAAACGACUGGGGCGCCGCAUCUGCCCGUGGCGAUCAGCAGCCUGUCUCCCUCGGAGCCGGGCAAGAGGCUUCGGGCGGCCGUCCAGCCGCUGCUCCAGAAAUGCACGGCCCGGCCGGAGGCGGCCGUGCACCUCCAGGGCCUACUUGGCUUGCAGCACCUUGGCAAGGAUCCGGGGCAAAGCGACGGCAUCUGCUUCAACGUGGUGGCCACGGUCGGAAGCGACGGCUCGCAGCAGCAGGAGCCGGCCCCACCGGCGUUGCAGGAGCCGGCUUUCACCUGGUGGGAAGUGGAAGACGCAGCUCUUAAGAGCCAGGUGCUCCAAAGGCUUCGCACAUGUUCUUUUCUCCCCAUUUACAGCUAACUCCUCCCAGCCGAGGGCUGCGCCAGAAAUGGAAGCCGCCCCCCCCCCCCCAGGCCACCGGACGCAGAGCAGGUCUGGGACACUCUUUUCCAAAUGAUGCUAUCCUACGCACCCCUGCUGAAAGCAAGGAAGAAUGUAAGAUCGGAAAAGGUUCCCAGACAUUCAUUUAUUAAAGCACAAGCCGACUUUCCUCCGGGGGCUCAAACCGAUGUUGCCACAGGCUCUGCUCAGCAAGUAUGGCAAAGGCAGGUUUGUUCCAUCUUUAUUUUGGGCCAAAGAUCAGCUCACCGCAGAGACCUAGGCAAUAUGCCAAGAUAGAACAGCACCUCCAGACCUACUUCCUCAAACUAUUUAUAGACUAGGAGAACUUUGCAACAGUCCUAGGAAUGAGAUGGUAGGAGAGGCUUCCAUUAUCUCACCACAGAAAGCUCUGGGUACAAAAGAAAACCAGGGAUUAAGUAGCAUGGCAGGAUUCAUCUUUAGACCGAUGGAACAUAUUGCAAAAAUUAAGUCCUGGUACAGAACGUUCAGCUGAGUACAUACGCCAAAAAAAGAGGGCGAGAAGAGGGUCACUUAGCUUAGUGGUUCUCAACCUGUGGGUCGGGACCCCAUUUGGGGUCGAACGACCAUUUCAUGGGGGUCGCCAAACAACGCAGUCUGCCAUUUUUUUCCCCUUUUCCUUAGCUGUGCUACUCCCUUUUAUUCU